rnacentral:rRNA from 1 species
GACGAACGCUGGCGGCGUGCCUAAUACAUGCAAGUCGAACGCAGUGGGGACGGGUGAGUAACACGUGGGUAACCUCCAUUCAGAGGGGAUAACAUUUGGAAACAGCUGCUAAAUCGAUACUGAUGGAUGGACCCGCGGUGCAUUAGCUAGUUGGCGAGGUAACGGCCCACCAAGGCCACAAUGCAUAGGCGAACUGUGAGGGUGAUAGGCCACACUGAGACUGAGAGACGGCCCAGACUCCUACGGGAGGCAGAAGUGGGGAAUGUUCGGCAAUGGAGGAAAGUCUGACCGGGCAACGCCGCGUGGGUGAAGAGGGUGUUCGGAUCGUAAAUCUCUGUUGUUAGAGAUGCGGUAUCUAACCAGAAAGCCACGGCUAACUACGUGCCAGCAGCCGCGGUAAUUC